UACGUAGGGGGGCAAGCGUUGUCCGGAUUUAUUGGGCGUAAAGAGCUCGUAGGCGGUCUGUCGCGUCGGGAGUGAAAACACCGGGCUUAACUCGGUGCUUGCUUUCGAUACGGGCAGACUGGAGGUAUGCAGGGGGAGAACGGAAUUCCUGGUGUAGCGGUGAAAUGCGCAGAUAUCAGGAGGAACACCGGUGGCGAAGGCGGGUCUCUGGGCCGUAACUGGACGCUGAGGAGCGAAAGCGUGGGGAGCGAACAGG
rnacentral:rRNA from 1 species